rnacentral:rRNA from 1 species
UUUGAAAUUAAGUACUUACUAUAUAUUUUUAUAUUAUUUUAUCAGAAAUAUCUUUAAAUUUAGUACACUAAGGAAAUAUAUAAUAUUGUUAUAGAUUAUUAUUACUGUGAAGGAUAUGUUGAAAUAGAUGAAAAUUAAAUUUUAAAUAAGUAGAUUUAUUUUAUUGUACCUUUUGUAUCAGGGUUGAUUAAAUUUUAUUAAAUUAUUUUAUUUUCCCGAUUUCAGGAGAGCUAAUCUUAUAAUUUACUUAUUGUUGCAUAAUUAUUAAUAAUAUAGAUUAGGGGAGAGAUUCUAUUCGUUCUUGAAGGUAUCUGGUUUUUUAAGAAUUAAAUUUAAUUUAUUUUCAUUAAUUAAAUUUUUUCUUUUAUAGAUAUAAUUUAUUUAAUGAAUUAAAAAUUGUAGGGGAUAAGCUCUACAUUGAUCUAUAAGAAUAUAAUUACUUAUUUUAUGUAGGGUUAAUAUUAUCCAUCAUUGUGAAGUGUGUUAUAAUAUAAAUUAAUUUUUAGUUGAUUUUUGUUUACUUUAGGUUUUUAUUAAAAUAUCAAAUUCAAUUUUGAAUUUUGUGAAAUAAUGAUUAAAUUAGUAUAAUUAUUUUGUUUUUAAUUAAUCUUAUGAUAUGAUAAAUUAAGGAACUCGGCAAAAAUAACACUCGCCUGUUUAACAAAAACAUGGCCUCUUGAUGGAAUAGGAGGUCUGACCUGCCCAGUNNNNNNNNNAUUAAACGGCCGCGGUAUAUUGACCGUGCAAAGGUAGCAUAAUCAUUAGUCUUUUAAAAGAGGGCUGGAAUGAAGGGUUUGACGAGGUGUUAACUGUCUCAUUUUAUUUGAUUUUAAAAUUUAACUUUUUAGUCAAAAGGCUAAAAUUUAAUUGGAAGACGAGAAGACCCUAUAGAGCUUUAUAUUAGUUUUUUUAAUUUUAUAUCAAUUAUUUUUAUUGAAAUUAAUAUUUUGUUGGGGUGACAAAAAUAUAUUAAAAACUUUUUUAUUUAUAAAACAUUGAUAUAUGAAUUUUAGAUCCAUUAUUAUUGAUUGUUAGAUUAAGUUACCUUAGGGAUAACAGCGUAAUCCUCCCCCAGAGUUCAUAUUUACGGGUAGGGCUUGCGACCUCGAUGUUGGAUUAAGAUAAUACUUAGGUGUAGCCGCUUAAGGUAUAGGUCUGUUCGACCUUUAAUUUCUUACAU